rnacentral:rRNA from 1 species
AAUGAGAGUUUGAUCCUGGCUCAGGACGAACGCUGGCGGCGUGCCUAAUACAUGCAAGUAGAACGCUGACUACUUUAGCUUGCUAGAGUAGAAGGAGUUGCGAACGGGUGAGUAACGCGUAGGUAACCUGCCUACUAGCGGGGGAUAACUAUUGGAAACGACAGCUAAUACCGCAUAACAGUGUUUAACACAUGUUAGAUGCUUGAAAGAUGCAAAUGCAUCACUAGUAGAUGGACCUGCGUUGUAUUAGCUAGUUGGUGGGGUAACGGCCUACCAAGGCGACGAUACAUAGCCGACCUGAGAGGGUGAUCGGCCACACUGGGACUGAGACACGGCCCAGACUCCUACGGGAGGCAGCAGUAGGGAAUCUUCCGCAAUGGACGAAAGUCUGACGGAGCAACGC